rnacentral:rRNA from 1 species
CCCGAUGCUUAUUUCUAGAGAUAGAAAGUUACUUCGGUACAUCGGUGACAGGUGGUGCAUGGUUGUCGUCAGCUCGUGUCGUGAGAUGUUGGGUUAAGUCCCGCAACGAGCGCAACCCCUAUUGUUAGUUGCCAUCAUUCAGUUGGGCACUCUAGCGAGACUGCCGGUAAUAACCGGAGGAAGUGGGAUGACGUCAAAUCAUCAUGCCCCUUAUGACCUGGGCUACACACGUGCUACAAUGGUUGGUACAACGAGUUGCGAGUCGGUGACGGCGAGCUAAUCUCUUAAAGCCAAUCUCAGUUCGGAUUGUAGGCUGCAACUCGCCUACAUGAAGUCGGAAUCGCUAGUAAUCGCGGAUCAGCACGCCGCGGUGAAUACGUUCCCGGGCCUU